UACGUAGGGUGCGAGCGUUGUCCGGAAUUACUGGGCGUAAAGAGCUCGUAGGUGGUUUGUCGCGUUGUUCGUGAAAACUCACAGCUUAACUGUGGGCGUGCGGGCGAUACGGGCAGACUGGAGUACUGCAGGGGAGACUGGAAUUCCUGGUGUAGCGGUGGAAUGCGCAGAUAUCAGGAGGAACACCAAUGGCGAAGGCAGAUCUCUGGGCCGUAACUGACGCUGGAGGAGCGAAAGCUGGGGAGCGAACAGG
rnacentral:rRNA from 1 species